AGUGAACGCUGGCGGUAGGCCUAACACAUGCAAGUCGAGCGGCAGAAGGGUAAUUGCUCCUGCAUUCAGCGGCCGACUGGCGAGCAAGGCAGAGGUACCUGCCAGGUAACGUGGUAGUGCGUCCGAAAGCGGGCGCAAAUACGCCAAAACUCCAUACGGCGAAAGGGGGGGAGCAUCGGACCUCCCGCUCUCAGGGGAGUCAAGGAGGCAAUGGCGAAUUGGCUAGUUGGCGGGGUAAAGGCCCACCAAGCCGACGAUCCGUAACUGGUCUGAGAGGAUGAUCAGCCACACUGGAACUGAGACACGGUCCAGACUCCUACGGGAGGCAGCAGUGGGGAAUAUUGGACAAUGGGCGCAAGCCUGAUCCAACCAUACCGCGUGUGUGAAGAAGGUCUUCGGCUUGUAAAGCACUUUAGUUGGGAAAGAGCAGCAGUAAGUUAAUACCUUGCUGUUUUGACGUUACCCACAGAAUAAGCACCGGCUAACUUCGUG
rnacentral:rRNA from 1 species